AUGAACGGGGACACACCAUACGGCCAGGGGCCUCUUGAUCGCUGCUUGGGUCAUUGGUGGCGGUGUUGGCGUUCAAGGAUGGGGCUGCGAUGCCUUCGGAGUCUUGGAAAAGCAGCUCGGGCGGAGGAAGAGGACGCGUCCGGUGUUGGAGGAGCUGGGCCGGAGACGCCUGAUCUACUGCAGUCAGUUUCAGGUUCACGGCCAGGAUGGUGGAUUCGUACUUCGAUGGCCAGACUAUCCAUGUCAAGCGGCGGCAUGAGAAGAGCUCCGGCGAGGUCGUCAUGUGCCGGUGCAUCUCACCUUCAAGCACAUGCUGCAGAGUCCGGCUGUUCAUUAGUUCUUUCUUUGCUGGAUGUUUGGCGCGCUGGCGCUGAUGCUGCAUGGAAGCAUUGGAAGCGGAAAAAAAAAUUCACAUACCUUCCUGGAUGGAUUCAAGUGAUGCUGGGACAUGUACAGAGAUGGAGCUCAUUAUAUAUGGAGACAGGUUUUGAAUUGGGGUGUGCUGUUUCCUACCUGAUGGUGUAG
rnacentral:rRNA from 1 species